rnacentral:rRNA from 1 species
CCUACGGGUGGCUGCAGUGGGGAAUAUUGGACAAUGGGCGAAAGCCUGAUCCAGCCAUGCCGCGUGUGUGAAGAAGGCCUUCGGGUUGUAAAGCACUUUCAGUGGGGAAGAAAGCCUUGGGGCUAAUACCCUCGAGGAAGGACAUCACCCACAGAAGAAGCACCGGCUAACUCCGUGCCAGCAGCCGCGGUAAUACGGAGGGUGCGAGCGUUAAUCGGAAUUACUGGGCGUAAAGCGCGCGUAGGCGGUCUGAUAAGCCGGUUGUGAAAGCCCCGGGCUCAACCUGGGAACGGCAUCCGGAACUGUCAGGCUAGAGUGCAGGAGAGGAAGGUAGAAUUCCCGGUGUAGCGGUGAAAUGCGUAGAGAUCGGGAGGAAUACCAGUGGCGAAGGCGGCCUUCUGGACUGACACUGACGCUGAGGUGCGAAAGCGUGGGUAGCAAACAGGAUUAGAUACCCUGGUUAGUC